GCAGCAGUGGGGAAUAUUGGACAAUGGGCGAAAGCCUGAUCCAGCCAUGCCGCGUGUGUGAAGAAGGUCUUCGGAUUGUAAAGCACUUUAAGUUGGGAGGAAGGGCAUUAACCUAAUACGUUAGUGUUUUGACGUUACCGACAGAAUAAGCACCGGCUAACUCUGUGCCAGCAGCCGCGGUAAUACAGAGGGUGCAAGCGUUAAUCGGAAUUACUGGGCGUAAAGCGCGCGUAGGUGGUUCGUUAAGUUGGAUGUGAAAGCCCCGGGCUCAACCUGGGAACUGCAUUCAAAACUGUCGAGCUAGAGUAUGGUAGAGGGUGGUGGAAUUUCCUGUGUAGCGGUGAAAUGCGUAGAUAUAGGAAGGAACACCAGUGGCGAAGGCGACCACCUGGACUGAUACUGACACUGAGGUGCGAAAGCGUGGGNAGCAAACAGGAU
rnacentral:rRNA from 1 species